rnacentral:rRNA from 1 species
AUGGCUCAGAACGAACGCUGGCGGCGCGUUUAAGCAUGCAAGUCGAGCGGCAAGGGCCUUCGGGCCCCUAGAGCGGCGGACGGGUGAGUAACACGUGGACAAUCUGCCCCCCGGCCCGGGAUAGCCCAGGGAAACCUGGAUUAAUACCGGAUGAGACGGGACCCGCGAUGGCGGGACCCGGGAAAGGCGCUGCGGCGCCGCCGGGGGAUGAGUCUGCGUCCCAUUAGCUAGACGGCGGGGUAACGGCCCACCGUGGCGACGAUGGGUAGCCGGCCUGAGAGGGUGGACGGCCACAUUGGAACUGAGACACGGUCCAGACUCCUACGGGAGGCAGCAGCUAAGAAUCUUCCGCAAUGGGCGAAAGCCUGACGGAGCCGACGCCGCGUGAACGAAGAAGGCCGUGAGGUUGUAAAGUUCUUUUCGGGAGGGGGAACAACCGUGGCAGGGAAUGGCCGCGGGAUGACGUGAACCCCGGAAUAAGCCCCGGCUAACUACGUGCCAGCCGCAGC